AAGCUGCUAAGCUAUGGAUC
rnacentral:snRNA from 1 species